rnacentral:rRNA from 1 species
GAUGAACGCUGGCGGCGUGCCUAAUACAUGCAAGUCGAACGCUGGAGAUCUAGCUUGCUAGAUCGAAGGAGUGGCGAACGGGUGAGUAAUACAUAAGCAACCUACCCACGAAGACUGGGAUAAUCUCUGGAAGCGGGGACUAAUACCGGAUAGGUAAUCGGAAGGCAUCUUCUGGUUAUUAAAGGUUAAAAACACUGGUGGAUGGGCUUAUGGCGCAUUAGUUAGUUGGUGAGGUAACGGCCCACCAAGACGAUGAUGCGUAGCCGGCCUGAGAGGGUGAACGGCCACAUUGGGACUGAGACACGGCCCAGACUCCUACGGGAGGCAGCAGUAGGGAAUUUUCGGCAAUGGGGGCAACCCUGACCGAGCAACGCCGCGUGAGUGAAGACGGCCUUCGGGUUGUAAAGCUCUGUUGUAAGGGAAGAACGGUAGAUAGAGAAUAUCUAAGUGACGGUACCUUACCAGAAAGCCACGGCUAACUACGUG